rnacentral:rRNA from 1 species
UACGAAGGGGGCUAGCGUUGUUCGGAUUAACUGGGCGUAAAGGGUGCGUAGGCGGGGUUUUAAGUCAGGGGUGAAAUGCCGAGGCUCAACUUCGGAACUGCCUUUGAUACUGGAACUCUUGAGUCUGGGAGAGGUGAGUGGAACUGCGAGUGUAGAGGUGAAAUUCGUAGAUAUUCGCAAGAACACCAGUGGCGAAGGCGGCUCACUGGCCCGGAGCUGACGCUGAGGCACGAAAGCGUGGGGAGCAAACAGG